AUCCAUGUAGCGCAAUGGAUAGCGCUUUGGACUUCUAAUCCAAAGGUCGUGGUUUCAAUUUCCACCUGGGAUG
rnacentral:tRNA from 1 species